rnacentral:rRNA from 1 species
GCGAACGCUGGCGGCAGGCCUAACCCCUGCAAGUCGAACGAACCUUUCGGGGUUAGUGGCGGACGGGUGAGUAACACGUGGGAACGUGCCUUUAGGUUCGGAAUAACUCAGGGAAACUUGUGCUAAUACCGAAUGUGCCCUUCGGGGGAAAGAUUAAUCGCCUUUAGAGCGGCCCGCGUCUGAUUAGCUAGUUGGUUGAGGUAAUGGCUCACCAAGGCGACGAUCAGUAGCUGGUCUGAGAGGAUGAUCAGCCACAUUGGGACUGAGACACGGCCCAAACUCCUACGGGAGGCAGCAGUGGGGAAUCUUGCGCAAUGGGCGAAAGCCUGACGCAGCCAUGCCGCGUGAAUGAUGAAGGUCUUAGGAUUGUAAAAUUCUUUCACCGGGGACGAUAAUGACGGUACCCGGAGAAGAAGCCCCGGCUAACUUCGUG